rnacentral:rRNA from 1 species
GACGAACGCUGGCGGCGUGCUUAACACAUGCAAGUCGAACGGAAAGGCCCUGCUUUUGUGGGGUGCUCGAGUGGCGAACGGGUGAGUAACACGUGAGUAACCUGCCCUUGACUUUGGGAUAACUUCAGGAAACUGGGGCUAAUACCGGAUAGGAGCGCCUGCUGCAUGGUGGGGGUUGGAAAGUUUCGGCGGUUGGGGAUGGACUCGCGGCUUAUCAGCUUGUUGGUGGGGUAGUGGCUUACCAAGGCUUUGACGGGUAGCCGGCCUGAGAGGGUGACCGGCCACAUUGGGACUGAGAUACGGACCAGACUCCUACGGGAGGCAGCAGUGGGGAAUAUUGCACAAUGGGCGGAAGCCUGAUGCAGCAACGCCGCGUGCGGGAUGACGGCCUUCGGGUUGUAAACCGCUUUCGCCUGUGACGAAGCGUGAGUGACGGUAAUGGGUAAAGAAGCACCGGCUAACUACGUG